rnacentral:rRNA from 1 species
UACGUAGGGUGCAGGCGUUAAUCGGAAUUACUGGGCGUAAAGCGUGCGCAGGCGGCUAUGCAAGACAGAUGUGAAGUCCCCGGGCUCAACCUGGGAACUGCAUUUGUGACUGCAUGGCUAGAGUACGGUAGAGGGGGAUGGAAUUCCGCGUGUAGCAGUGAAAUGCGUAGAUAUGCGGAGGAACACCGAUGGCGAAGGCAAUCCCCUGGGCCUGCACUGACGCUCAUGCACGAAAGCGUGGGGAGCAAACAGG